UACGAAGGGGGCUAGCGUUGUUCGGAAUUACUGGGCGUAAAGCGCACGUAGGCGGGUAUUUAAGUCAGGGGUGAAAUCCCAGAGCUCAACUCUGGAACUGCCUUUGAUACUGGGUACCUAGAGUGUGGAAGAGGUGAGUGGAAUUCCGAGUGUAGAGGUGAAAUUCGUAGAUAUUCGGAGGAACACCAGUGGCGAAGGCGGCUCACUGGUCCACUACUGACGCUGAGGUGCGAAAGCGUGGGGAGCAAACAGG
rnacentral:rRNA from 1 species